rnacentral:misc_RNA from 1 species
GAUGAAGAACGCAGCGAAAUGCGAUAAGUAAUGCGAAUUGCAGAAUUCAGUGAGUCAUCGAAUCUUUGAACGCACAUUGCGCCCCUUGGUAUUCCGAGGGGCAUGCCUAUUCGAGCGUCAUUAUCACCCCUCAAGCUCCGGCUUGGUGUUGAGGCCUGCUGUAAAGGCACCCUCUAAAAUCAGUGGCAGUGCUGUCAGGCUCUAAGCGUAGUAAUUCUCUCGCUACAGGGUCCCGGUGGACACUCGCCAGAACCCCCCCAUUUUUUAAUGAUUGACCUCGGAUUAGGUAGGGAUACCCGCUGAACUUAAGCAUAUCAAUAAGCGGAGGA